rnacentral:lncRNA from 1 species
GACGAUCACCAGGUAAGUUUAUCCCCCUUCUUCUCCUCCGAUCUUCUCCUCCAUUUUUCUUUCCUUCUGCGAUCUGCAAUGACGAGUCGAGCCCUUUUUAUUUUCGCCUAGCCCUAAUUUUCAAUCCGAUUUUUAGAUCCUAAUGUUAUAUUCACAUAUUUUUAUCCCAGGUAAUGUUUUUGUUGUUUGAAUUGUCAGUUUGAAUAUAUCAAAUCUGGAGAUGGACAUCGACUUUCAGACGAAAAAUAGGGUCGGGAAGCGCUUUCGUAUCUCCAAGGGGGAGGAGGUCUCCAAACAAUACCCCAUACCCUUAAAGCCCCCGACAUAAAGACCGGAGAUUGUCUGACGGAGGUGUUUCGGGUGAUAGUCAAUAGAGAAGGGCACAUAUCUGGUAAAAUCUUCUUAAAUAUUGGACCUCAACUAACAAGACUGAAGAAGAAGAAGAAGAAUAUGUUUUAAAGGGGGGCGAUCUAAUGUUGACUGGCGCCGUUCUACUGUCCCAUAAUCUUUUUCUCAUCUUUGCGGAUCUGAAUCACAAGAAUCACAAGAGGAAAAACUACUGGAGACAAAAAACUAUCGUGUAUGAGAAGUUGGGGGUGGGCAUGGAUGUG